GAUCGCAGAGACAUGGUCCAUGAUCGGAGAGACAUUGUUGAGGAUGAGGGAGACAUCGUCCACGAUCAGAGACAUUGUCCAUGAUCGCAGAGACUUUGUCAAAGAUGAGAGAGACGUUGUCCUUGAUCAGAGACAUUGUCCCAUGCUUCGUAGAGACCUUGCGAUAGAAUCGGCGGAGACGGGGGUCACCGAUUUGACGGCACUGCCCGCGAUCAUGGAGACAUUUGUUGAUGGUCACAGAGACAGCGUUUAUGAUCUCAGAGACAUCGUCCACGAUCACAGAGACAUUGUCCAUGAUCACAGAGACUUUGUCCAUAAUCUCAGAGACAUUGUCCGCGAUCACAGAGACGUAGUCCACGAUCACACAGAGUCUUCGUACAAUGAAGAAGUUGUUUGAGACCAGGACAGAGGCCUCCAGGUGUCUCCACUUCGUCAACGACAUCGUCCACGAUCGCAGAGUCAUUGUCCAUGAUCGCAGAGACCUUGUCAAAGAUGAGAGAGACGUUUUCCUUGAUCAGAGACAUUGUCCCAUGCUUCGUAGAGACCUUGCGAUAGAAUCGGCGGAGACGGGGGUCACCGAUUUGACGGCACUGCCCGCGAUCAUGGAGACAUUUGUUAAUGGUCACAGAGACACCAUCUAUGAUCUCAGAGACAUCGUCCACGAUCACAAAGACAUUGUCCAUGAUCAGAGACUUUGUCCAUAAUCUCAGAGACAUUGUCCAUGAUCACAGAGACGUAGUCCACGAUCUCAGAGAGUCUUUGUACAAUGAAGAAGUUGUUUGAGACCAGGACAGAGGCCUCCAGGUCGACUUGUUCAGCUGCUGCAGCUCGGACAGAAACACGAUCAUCACCUCACUGGUCAACAGGUGUCUCCACUUCGUCCACGACAUCGAGUCUUCAUACAGAAGUUGUUUGAGACCAGGACAGAGGCCUCCAGGAUUAAAACUUGAACCAUUAAACCACAGAGAGAAGAGACAGACAUGAAGACAUUUUCAGAAGGUCUUCAGCUGCAUCGUCUUCCCCUGCAGAGACAAGAACACAUGUUAACCACAGAGGUACAUGAACAGUGUAUUAGAUACAGGAAAACUACUGAAACUGCUUUACUGCACAGUACUUGAAAAGGUAAAUGAAAAUCUAAAUUUCAAGCCUAUGAGAGACAGUUUUUACCUUUCCUCAUGUUUCUU